AGCAGCACGGGAGAGCGACCCGUUUGCUGGCAGACAAUCCAGUCCCCAUCGCACGGCAACUGUGGAUGGGGCUGGCUUUCUGCGCUUAACCCCGUCUUCCAAUAACGGUAAAGAUUCAGUGCAUUGCACUUGAUUGCAGAACUCGUCGGCAGCGUUAUGGAACGGACCGCAUCGCUCAGGGCGAACAAGUUUCUCCUCGCGGUUCCGUAGUCCCG
rnacentral:sRNA from 10 species